ensembl:lncRNA
GGUCUCUGAGGCUUCCCAAGUUGAGAAAUCAAAUGCAGUGAUUUUUCUUUCAUGAAAGUUGACGGUAUCAACGUGUAUACACAGUUCAGUACCUUCGCAGGACCUCAUCCAUAUUAUCUUUCCAAAUGAACUGGUCAGGGGAAAAUGUGAGUUGCACAACAGUAAGAAGGUAUAAUCUCAUUUUUGUUAAAACAAAUCAAAACCAAAAAGAUACCCAAACUCAGCAGUGUCGGUAAUGUUUGGGAGCGUGUUAGAAAUGGAGACACUUGGCUCUCACCCCAGAUGCACGGAGUCAGAUCCUCCAUUAACGAAAUCCACAGCCGUCUCUGUCGGCAUCUCCCUGGAUAUACGCGGAAACAUGUACAUGAGUAGAAAUUUUUGGCCCUAAUAGGUGCCACGGACCAUAUAAUAAGUAGAAGAACUCUGGGGACAGCGGAAGAAAAGGCCCCAUUGGCAAAGCCCUGCUGUGAUCAGAAAGAAAAAGUUGGAGAUGGUACCUCACAGCAGGAGAUGAAGCCUUAAAGGCAUUACGGCCCCACUGGCCUAGCCGUUCUCGGCAGACUGCAGGCGCUGUGGCCCAGAGGGUAAGACAGUUUCCCACCCAGAGCCCAGCCUUGACUUCCCCGGAUUCCUGUCAACACAAGGGUUUUAAUGAGUCUACCCGAGAUGUGAGCACGCCAUUGUAUUUGCACUUUAUGACAUCUUGUUAUAUUUCAGAGGAGAGGAUUC